CCAAAUUCGGCCGCACUGUGUGUCCUGUGACAUAAUGUGCUUUCUCUUCUGAUGGAAUCAGUAGAAAUUCUGGAACCCACAAACAUCCUGAAUGACCGAGUGUUCUUGUUAUACAUCAGAGUGCCCUGACAAAUGAGGCAGUCCCCCAAAAAUGUGGGGAGCGCUUUGCCAACUGACGUGUCACCAGCUAUGGGGACAGUCUGAAAGGCACGAUUCAUUUCACACGGAGGAGCACGCAUUGUAGAGCACUGAGCAUCUGUGCUCUGCUUCUCCCUGGCCUUGUGAAUUUAAAGAGUGACCUAGCUGGAAAACUGAAGAGCUACCAGGCAGGGCAGCCUCAUCUCCACAGCAAAAUAAUGGUUAUCUGCCAGGAGAGCGGCUAAGAGUUUCAAUCCAUUCAGAAGAGGAAGGAGUAGCAGCAAAAUUUAACAAAAAUGUUAAUAAUAAAAGAAUCCUCCAUUUUUAACACGGUUAGACACAUAACAAAGCAAGCAAGCAAACUUACAAACCUCACAACAAAGCCAAAAGAAAGAUGGGAAAUAACAUCUAAACAAAAUUUCCAUAGGACAAUUGGCAUUCACCUAUAUGCUGCUUUCUGCAAUUCUGUCAGCUCCAAUAUCUUUGCUCGAACACAAGCACGUGUGCAUAUGCACACAGAUCUGAAACUGCUUCAAGCAGAUCAACUUGAGUUGAUGUGAGUUGGCUUUUGCUGAUCAACCUCAACUUCUUGCUAUAUUGCCUAUCUGCCCCAAAAUCUCUUGCUGUAUUGUCUAACUGCCCAAACCAUAAAGUGAUCCUACAGCCAAGAGAGUUUACUGUUCCUCCUGUAGGUGAGGGGUGGGUGUUUCAUGUGGGAAGUGUCAGCAUUUAGCAAAGACAAGAAAAAUCCAUCAGCACCAAGGCAGUGAAGAGACGGAAUCCCAGUGGCUUUGUGAAUGAACAAAAUGCAUGCUAAGUAGGCUACAUGAGCAGAGGAACAAGUGGGCAAGAGUGGAUGGUAGAAUAUCUAAAACCUGAAC
rnacentral:lncRNA from 1 species